UCACACACCACCAGUCCUAAAUCUCUGGUGGUCAAACUGAAAUAGUUGCCCAUAGGAUAACACAUAUGUUUACCCCUCUUCAUAUCUGAUGGUGGCAGAUGCCACUAAAAUGGCCACAUGUGUCUUGACUCCAGGUGGCUUCCGAAUAGGAAAUAUCCCUGCGAUCUUGGUGUGGCAUGGCAGCAGCAUCUCUCUCUCUGCGCUUUCCUGGGUCAAGGUUUUGUGGUGUUUUUAUUGUAUAAAGUUUGUCUGAAACCGCCCCCAAGGAGGGUUUCCUUUUAUGCUGUAGUAAGAGAAAGCAAAGGAAAAAGAAACUGUGACAUUUUUUGUUGUCAGUUUGUUGGUGGACCCUGUUACCAUGGCUUCACAUCUAAGUGGGGACUAUUUUAACUUAUUUACAGGUAUAUGGUGUGGAAAUAAGUUAGCUCAAUUGUGGAUAUAAUGAACAUCCACACACAGACACAUACACACACACAUACAAAUAAAUAAAAAUUUAAAAGUAAAAUACACAACCUCAUGCUAAAACUAGUCAUGUGGUUUUUCUUUCAUGGCUCAUAACAAACUUUAAGAGGCAUUUUGAUAAGAACUCUCUUCAGUGCUCUGAGACAACAGGGUAACAGGACACCAGCUGGCUUAGAUCGAUGGGAACUUUGCUUUUGAAAAGGGCCAGCAUAUAGUUAAUUGAUUAUACUUUUGAUCUAUAAGCAAAUAAUCCAAUGGAGAGUGACUCUCUAAAUAGUUUCCAAACUUUUCUGGUCACCUGACUAGUAGGCUAGAUGACAUUCUGCCAUCUAAGCCAUAGCUGUAAAAAAAUAAAAUAAAAAUAUAAAUCCUGGCCUGUGCUAUAAGUUGACAUGAAUAAAGUAUAUUAAGCUCUUUAUUCUUGGUGAGACCAAAGUGUGGCACUGUGUUGACACCAUGGGCAGACACAGGACACCUUGGGUUCUUCUGUAUUCCACCUUCAAAGCGGUCUGUCUGAGUAUGAUAUCUUACUGCUCAAGAUCCACAGGACUUCACGAUGUAAGAGGGUGUGACUUCAUGGAGAACCUCACAGUCCAUGUCCCUUCACUGUAACCCCAUUUUAAUGAAUGCUUAGACUAAGCCUCCCCACCUUCUUGCUUUUCGAGUUCAAACUGUAUCUGCAGAAUUUCAAGUCUCCCGUUCGGUUUCCCAGUGUCCCUGAGAAGAGAAGAGGUUCUUUUCUACGCCCUUGCCAGUGUCAUUUCAGUGUUUACAUUUUCGAGCUGAGACCUUGAUCGGCUAACUUAGUCAAAAUACCACUGCCACCGCUGAAGGACCAGGUGUUCGAAUGCACAGUGUUGCAAGCAACGCAAGCGAAAGUGACCCUCACACACACAGCCCUCUGUGUCCUUUUAUGGCUGUUCUGUCGUCGAUGCCAACCCCCAAUUAUUUAUUAUUGUUAAUAACUUACUUUUUCUUACAUUCUGUUGUAAAUAAAGUAUGAAGCAAUCUUC
rnacentral:lncRNA from 1 species